UGCAAGUCGAGCGAGACAGAAGGGAGCUUGCUCCCGGAUGUUAGCGGCGGACGGGUGAGUAACACGUGGGUAACCUGCCUGUAAGACUGGGAUAACUCCGGGAAACCGGAGCUAAUACCGGAUAGUUCCUUGAACCGCAUGGUUCAAGGAUGAAAGACGGUUUCGGCUGUCACUUACAGAUGGACCCGCGGCGCAUUAGCUAGUUGGUGGGGUAAUGGCUCACCAAGGCGACGAUGCGUAGCCGACCUGAGAGGGUGAUCGGCCACACUGGGACUGAGACACGGCCCAGACUCCUACGGGAGGCAGCAGUAGGGAAUCUUCCGCAAUGGACGAAAGUCUGACGGAGCAACGCCGCGUGAGUGAUGAAGGUUUUCGGAUCGUAAAGCUCUGUUGUUAGGGAAGAACAAGUGCGAGAGUAACUGCUCGCACCUUGACGGUACCUAACCAGAAAGCCACGGCUAACUACGUGCCAGCAGCCGCGGUAAUACGUAGGUGGCAAGCGUUGUCCGGAAUUAUUGGGCGUAAAGGGCUCGCAGGCGGUUUCUUAAGUCUGAUGUGAAAGCCCCCGGCUCAACCGGGGAGGGUCAUUGGAAACUGGGAAACUUGAGUGCAGAAGAGGAGAGUGGAAUUCCACGUGUAGCGGUGAAAUGCGUAGAGAUGUGGAGGAACACCAGUGGCGAAGGCGACUCUCUGGUCUGUAACUGACGCUGAGGAGCGAAAGCGUGGGGAGCGAACAGGAUUAGAUACCCUGGUAGUCCACGCCGUAAACGAUGAGUG
rnacentral:rRNA from 1 species